CGGCGGACGGGUGAGUAACGCGUGGGUAACCUGCCUCAUACAGGGGGAUAACAGUUAGAAAUGACUGCUAAUACCGCAUAAGCGCACGGGACCGCAUGGUCUUGUGUGAAAAACUCCGGUGGUAUGAGAUGGACCCGCGUCUGAUUAGGUAGUUGGCGGGGUAGCGGCCCACCAAGCCGACGAUCAGUAGCCGACCUGAGAGGGUGACCGGCCACAUUGGGACUGAGACACGGCCCAAACUCCUACGGGAGGCAGCAG
rnacentral:rRNA from 1 species